GGUUGACCUCGGAUCAGGUAGGAAUACCCGCUGAACUUAAGCAUAUCAAUAAGCGGAGGAAAAGAAACCAACAGGGAUUGCCUCAGUAACGGCGAGUGAAGCGGCAACAGCUCAAAUUUGAAAUCUGGCCUUGUGCCCGAGUUGUAAUUUGUAGAGGAUGCUUUCGGCGCGGCGCCUCCCGAGUGCCCUGGAACGGGACGCCACAGAGGGUGAGAGCCCCGUAUGGUUGGACGCCUAGCCUUUGUAAAGCUCCUUCGACGAGUCGAGUAGUUUGGGAAUGCUGCUCAAAACGGGAGGUAAAUUCCUUCUAAAGCUAAAUACCGGCCAGAGACCGAUAGCGCACAAGUAGAGUGAUCGAAAGAUGAAAAGCACUUUGAAAAGAGGGUUAAACAGCACGUGAAAUUGUUGAAAGGGAAGCGCUUGUGGCCAGACUUGGGCCUCGGGGAUCAGCUGGCGUUCUCGCCAGUGCACUCCGCGGGGCUCAGGCCAGCAUCGGUUUUCCGAGGGGGAUAAAAGCUCCGGGAACGUAGCUCCUUCGGGAGUGUUAUAGCCCGCUGCAGAAUACCCCUUGGGGGACCGAGGUACGCGCUCCGCAAGGAUGCUGGCGUAAUGGUCAUCAGCGGCCCGUCUUGAAACACGGACCAAGGAGUCAAGCAUUAGGGCGAGUGUUUGGGUGUCAAACCCGCACGCGAAAUGAAAGUGAACGUAGGUGAGAGCUUCGGCGCAUCAUCGACCGAUCCUGAUGUAUUCGGAUGGAUUUGAGUAGGAGCCUUACCGCUUGGACCCGAAAGAUGGUGAACUAUGCCUGUAUAGGGUGAAGCCAGAGGAAACUCUGGUGGAGGCUCGCAGCGGUUCUGACGUGCAAAUCGAUCGUCAAAUAUGGGCAUGGGGGCGAAAGACUAAUCGAACUAUUACCUACUAGGUAGUUAAGAGGAUCUGCCGAGAGGCUGGAUCCUAGUUCUUUACGGCGAGAGCUACACCGCCAAAUUGCCGGGAACUACCUGUUUGAUACCCAAGUUACCGCAGCCGAGCUGAAAAGCUCGGUGCGCACCAGGCUAAUCACCUGCGGGAUGGUAAUAACACUUGGGCUAGGGUUGACCCGCAGCCAACUCCGCAUCUAAGGAGGCAGUUCACAGACUAAAUGGUGGUGGGUUCGGCCCCUACUCUGCGUAGGAGGCUGGGCUUAAGAUAUAGUCGAAACCCCUGAGAAAUCAGCGGGAGCGAGGUCCUACCCGACCUCGCAGGAAUGCUAGUAGCUGGUUACCGCCGAAGUUUCCCUCAGGAUAGCAGUGUUGUUUUCAGUUUUAUGAGGUAAAGCGAAUGAUUAGGGACUCGGGGGCGCUAUUUAGCCUUCAUCCAUUCUCAAACUUUAAAUAUGUAAGAAGCCCUUGUUACUUAGCUGAACGUGGGCCUUCGAAUGUAUCAACACUAGUGGGCCAUUUUUGGUAAGCAGAACUGGCGAUGCGGGAUGAACCGAACGCGGGGUUAAGGUGCCAGAGUGGACGCUCAUCAGACACCACAAAAGGCGUUAAUACAUCUUGACAGCAGGACGGUGGCCAUGGAAGUCGGAAUCCGCUAAGGACUGUGUAACAACUCACCUGCCGAAUGUAUUAGCCCUGAAAAUGGAUGGCGCUCAAGCGUCCCACCCAUACCCCGCCCUCAGGGUAGAAACGAUGCCCUGAGGAGUAGGCGGCCGUGGGGAUGGUGACGAAGCCUAGGGCGUGAGCCCGGGUCGAACCAUCCCUAGUGCAGAUCUUGGUGGUAGUAGCAAAUACUUCAAUGAGAACUUGAAGGACCGAAGUGGGGAAAGGUUCCAUGUGAACAGCGGUUGGACGUGGGUUAGCCGAUCCUAAGCCAUAGGGAAGUUCCGUUUCAAAGGGGCACUCGUGCCCCGCUUGGCGAAAGGGAAGCAGGUUAAUAUUCCUGCGCCUGGAUGUGGGUUUUUCGCGGCAACGCAACUGAACGCGGAGACGGCGGCGGGGGCCCCGGGCAGAGUUCUCUUUUCUUCUUAACGGUCUGCCACCCUGAAAACAGUUUGUCUGGAGAUAGGGUUUAAUGGCCGGAAGAGCCCAGCACCUCUGCUGGGUCCGGUGCGCCCCCGACGUCCCUUGAAAAUCCGCGGGAGGGAAUAAUUCUCGCGCCAGGUCGUACUCAUAACCGCAGCAGGUCUCCAAGG
rnacentral:rRNA from 1 species